GUUGUGCCACCAUGAUAAAGUUGGUAGUCUUAUUGGCAAAGGCGGUUCUGUGGUGCGGGCUCUUCAAAAUGAAACUGGUGCAUCUAUCCAAAUUGUUGAGGCUGGACCUGAUUCAGACGAGCGCAUUGUUGUGAUAUCUGCACGAGAGGUAUGAGAUCAACUACUUUAUUUGUCUGAUAAGCAAUGCUCUACCCGUGUAUGAUAGCUUGUUACACAAAAUUGACCUUGCUAUAUCUUUGUUUGCAAAGUUUUGCUUUGAUGGGAGUAAAUUUUGUCGGAUCUUCAGUAUUCUGUCUUGGAAAGUUUCUUGUUUGUAACUUUGGUUGCUUGUUGAGGUUAUUGUGAGCUGGCUCUCUGGUGUCAAGUUAUUCUGGAGAUCUUUGUUAAAAAUCUAAAAUAUGAUUGUUCUUUUGUUAUAAUCAAACAGGUAACCUUUGUC
rnacentral:lncRNA from 1 species